rnacentral:rRNA from 1 species
UACGGAGGGUGCGAGCGUUGUCCGGAAUCACUGGGCGUAAAGGGCGCGUAGGCGGCCUGAUAAGUAGGGGGUGAAAUCCUGCGGCUUAACCGCAGGGCUGCCUUCUAAACUGUCAGGCUGGAGCACAGUAGAGGCAGGUGGAAUUCCCGGUGUAGCGGUGGAAUGCGUAGAGAUCGGGAAGAACAUCAGUGGCGAAGGCGGCCUGCUGGGCUGUUGCUGACGCUGAGGUGCGAGAGCGUGGGGAGCGAACCGG